UGGUUCUGGCAUCGAUGAAGAACGCAGCGAAAUGCGAUAAGUAAUGUGAAUUGCAGAAUUCAGUGAAUCAUCGAAUCUUUGAACGCACAUUGCGCCCGCUAGUAUUCUGGCGGGCAUGCCUGUUCGAGCGUCAUUACAUCCCUCAAGCCCCCGGGCUUGGUGUUGGAGAUCGGCGAGCCCCCGCGCCCGCCGUCCCCUAAAUUUAGUGGCGGUCACGCUGUAACUUCCUCUGCGUAGUAGCACACUUAGCACUGGGAAACAGCGCGGCCACGCCGUAAAACCCCCAACUUUUAUACGUUUGACCUCGAAUCAGGUAGGACUACCCGCUGA
rnacentral:misc_RNA from 1 species